CAGUAGCCACGGUAAUACGAAGGGUGCAAGCGUUAAUCGGAAUUACUGGGCGUAAAGCGUGCGUAGGCGGUUUGUUAAGUCUGUUGUGAAAUCCCCGGGCUCAACCUGGGAAUGGCAAUGGAUACUGGCAAGCUAGAGUGUGGUAGAGGAUAGUGGAAUUUCCGGUGUAGCAGUGAAAUGCGUAGAGAUCGGAAGGAACAUCUGUGGCGAAGGCGACUAUCUGGGCCAACACUGACACUGAGGCACGAAAGCGUGGGGAGCAAACAGGAUUAGAUACCCGCGUAGUCCCUGUCUCUUAUAU
rnacentral:rRNA from 1 species